CCUCUCUUCAGGCCCCUGGUGGGGUCCCACCUCCAGCUCCCUCCACGCCUUCGGCUUGCCAAGCUGGUCACCGUCACACGUGGGCUCCGAGUGACCUCAUCAUUGGCUCAGAAGUUGGGAGGAGCCUGUUUAUCAUGGGGCUCCCGACCCCAGGAAGGCCCCCAGCAAGACCAGGCUUUCUGCUGCCAGCCAAAUGAGCAGGAAGAAACCGUCCUUCUCCGGCAUCCCAGCAGCAGUCCUGGGCUUGGUGCUCCCUGCUCUGCCUGGGACCACAUGCCCAUCCCUGACCAAUCGCUCUGGCCAGUGGUCUGAAAAAGGACUGCCCUGAUGUGCCUACCUUUGGAGCAAGAGGACAGCGACCUAGGGGUCACAUAAGAACAGCCACCGGGAGGAACAGCGGGUGGCACAGCAAAAUCAUCAAGAUUUUUUACAUAUGUGGCCCCCAACUCCAUCCCUUCACCUCCAUUUGAGAACCUGGACUUCCCGAAGAAGCAGGAACAUUCAAGGCAGAAACUCAAGCAGGAGCCACUUUCUCUUCUUGGUGCACAGAAGGGCCAGAGGACCUCGUGACAGUCCCGGCCUGGACCUGGUUCUGCUUCACGGAGAUCAGCGGAGGGUGCUCCUGGGCCCACAAGCACCUGCUCUGGAGUGAGGCCUGCAGAUGUGGGACCCCGGAUUCUGCUGCAUUCUGGCUGUGUGGCCUUGGACAAAGGAUUGCACCUCUCUGUGAAAUUGCCUCAGAUGUAAAACGUAUGAAGGUAGCUUCUAUUGCAUAAAAUGGUUGUGAGUAUUAAACGAGCUAAUACAGAAAAAGUGCAUAGAACGUUGCUUGGAACCCAGCAAGCUCUCAAUAAAUGUUACCACUACUGCUA